GAUGAACGCUAGCGGCAGGCUUAACACAUGCAAGUCGAGGGGCAGCAUAAUGGUAGUAAUACUAUUGAUGGCGACCGGCGGACGGGUGCGUAACGCGUAUGCAACCUACCCUUUACAGGGGGAUAACACUGAGAAAUCGGUACUAAUACCCCAUAAUAUUCUGGGAGGCAUCUUUCGGAGUUGAAAGCUUUGGUGGUAAAGGAUGGGCAUGCGUUGUAUUAGCUAGUUGGUAAGGUAACGGCUUACCAAGGCGACGAUACAUAGGGGGACUGAGAGGUUAACCCCCCACAUUGGUACUGAGACACGGACCAAACUCCUACGGGAGGCAGCAGUGAGGAAUAUUGGUCAAUGGACGAGAGUCUGAACCAGCCAAGUAGCGUGAAGGAUGACUGCCCUAUGGGUUGUAAACUUCUUUUAUACGGGAAUAAAGUUAGCCACGUGUGGCUUUUUGUAUGUACCGUAUGAAUAAGGAUCGGCUAACUCCGUG
rnacentral:rRNA from 1 species